rnacentral:rRNA from 1 species
GGCGUAAGGGUUUGUAGGCAGCUUUAAUAAAUUAAAGAUUGAAUCAAAUAGAAGUCAAGAGAAUUCCUAGAUUAGGGUUGAUAUCUGUAUAAACUAGGAAGAAUUCUAAUUAGCGAAGGCACUUUUCUAUCUAAUGAUUGACGCUGAGACACGAAGGGGAGGAUCGACAAUAGGAUUAGAUACCCUGGCAUCCCUCUCUGUAAACGAUGAAUGGUAGUUGCUAAUCAGAAUAAUUAGUGACGAGGCUAACGCGUUAACCAUUCCGCCUUGUGAGUACGACUGCAAAGUUGAAAACAAAAAAAUUAGUCGGUUUCGGAGCAAACGAAGUGAAGCAUGUUAUUUAAUUCGAUAAUCCGC